GAUGAACGCUGGCGGCGUGCCUAAUACAUGCAAGUCGAGCGAACAGACGAGGAGCUUGCUCCUCUGACGUUAGCGGCGGACGGGUGAGUAACACGUGGAUAACCUACCUAUAAGACUGGGAUAACUUCGGGAAACCGGAGCUAAUACCGGAUAAUAUAUUGAACCGCAUGGUUCAAUAGUGAAAGACGGUUUUGCUGUCACUUAUAGAUGGAUCCGCGCCGCAUUAGCUAGUUGGUAAGGUAACGGCUUACCAAGGCGACGAUGCGUAGCCGACCUGAGAGGGGGGUCGGCGAACGGGGAGUGGAGACACGGGCGAGAGGAGUACGGGAGGAGGGAGGAGGGGAGGUGGAGCAAGGGGCGAAAGCCUGACGAAGCAAUGACGAGGGAGGAAAGAAGGUCUUCGUAGCUUAAAACUCGGUUAGGAUGGAAGAACAAAUGUGGAGGUAACAAUGCACGUCUUGACGGUAAGGAAUCAGAAAGACAAGGCGAACUACGUG
rnacentral:rRNA from 1 species